UGGGGAAUAUUGGACAAUGGGCGAAAGCCUGAUCCAGCCAUGCCGCGUGUGUGAAGAAGGUCUUCGGAUUGUAAAGCACUUUAAGUUGGGAGGAAGGGCAGUAAGCGAAUACCUUGCUGUUUUGACGUUACCGACAGAAUAAGCACCGGCUAACUCUGUGCCAGCAGCCGCGGUAAUACAGAGGGUGCAAGCGUUAAUCGGAAUUACUGGGCGUAAAGCGCGCGUAGGUGGUUCGUUAAGUUGAAUGUGAAAGCCCCGGGCUCAACCUGGGAACUGCAUCCAAAACUGGCGAGCUAGAGUAGGGCAGAGGGUGGUGGAAUUUCCUGUGUAGCGGUGAAAUGCGUAGGUAUAGGAAGGAACACCAGUGGCGAAGGCGACCACCUGGGCUCAUACUGACACUGAGGUGCGAAAGCGUGGGGAGCAAACGGG
rnacentral:rRNA from 1 species